rnacentral:lncRNA from 1 species
UCCCAGUUUAAAAAGGAAAAACCUAGCUGAACAAAGGGUUCAUUAAUAUAGAGAUGAAGUUAUUUAAGAGAAUACCUCUGAAAAACAAAUGUACUAAUGUAUGUUAAAAGACCUGAAAUCUUUUUUUUUCACCUUUCCUAGAAAACCAGUGAAAACUGGGAGUAACUCCUUGAGCAGCUACUUUCGCUUACUAGUAUGUAAUAGAUGGACAGAUGACCUUCCAAAACACACUGUCUAUCUGGCCUGCUAACUGCUUGAAGUUCAGUUUUUGAGGAACACUUCCAUAAGGCCAUUUAUUCACAGUCUAAAAGUUGAUCUUAACACAUAGAUCUUUUUCAGAAUGUAACCUGUUUUUUUCAUUAAUUUUUGCAUCCAAAUAGCUCAUAUAUGAUGUAUUUUCUGUAAUAUAGAGUAUUUCCAUUGCACAGAAGUAAUUGAAAAGACCAUUGUAAUGUUUAAAAUAAUCAUAAAUCCUGUUAUGAGAAGAUUUUGAGAGCAUUGGGUUUGUCUCUGUAUUGACAGAUUACAAUUUUUUUCCAUAACCUCUGUAAACGAACCUCUGUUGUUUGCGUUAAUUGUGUAGAUGGAGUCUUAUUAUUUUAAUAACACUAAUAUAAUGCCAUCUCAGCAGAUGAAGUGGACAGUAUUACUGAGACCAGGCUUCUUGCAUCCUUAUAUUAGUUUGAACUGAGAUGCUAAUAAGCGUUCACUAUAAAUAGCAUGAGUGGCAAAAAUGUUCUAAAAAAAUUAGUAAAGAUACAGUUGAAGCAAGUAAUAGGAAUAUGGUUCUGCAGUUAAUCUCCAGGGAACAGCUUUUUCAUUUAACUUUGGAAUAUUCAGAUGAAUUUUAAAUUGUGUAUAACUGUAUCUCCACAAAGCGCAUCCUACUCAUUGAUGCUAAUGGAGUCAUUUAGAAGACUGAGAAUCUCAACUUUAUCUGAUAGUUUUAUAAACUUGGUUUGACUUGGUUUGACUUGAGGUUUAUGACUCACAUUAAAAGUUGGACAGAUACUAAAACUGAAUCUGCAAUACUAUAGUAGGAAAUCUUCAGGAAUUUUGGAGAUUCAGAUAAGCUGUUCACAGGCUUUCAACUUUCACUGCCCUCAAGUGAAUCUUGGUGACCUGGAAAUCUCCUUCAAAAUCUGAGAAAGUUAAGGAAUUGUCUCUAUCUGAUAUUUAAAGCACAGAAGGUUGAGGCAUAUCUGCACUUAGUCCUGCCAUGGCCUUCCUGAAUGUAAGUGUCCAGAUGCUCAGACUGAAUGGGAGCAGAAAUUGUCUCUCACUUGCACCUUUUUUCUUUUCCAAGCUCAUGGAAACCAACAUUUUCACCUGGGAAGUUUCAUAAACACACCCCAAACUGCUGUCUUGGUAUGAUUUUGAUGCUCGGUGCCUAUUUUCUUUAGGGGGUUAAGGAUCUUGAACUAGUAUCUAUCAACAGGACAUUUCUGCGUGUCCCACAAAGAUGUUACACCUAUAGGUAUGAUAGCAUUUUCACUUCUGGCUCAAGAAGCUAUUGUAUUUUGUUGCUGACAAAUGUCAUGCAGAAGUGAUCACCACUGUUAAUGAUGACGGUAAAUCUGUCCAGUUUUGAACCAGAUUAGAAAGUUCUGCAGAUGUUUUAACACUCUUACAGAGGUAUUGUCUAGCAAGGUAGAUUAAGAUAGUCCCCCUAUCACCUCCACUUAAGUUAUCCCUUAUUUCCAAUAUUUUUAUUGGUUAGUUGCUACAGAUAAAUCUCAUAUGGAAGCACAGAUGAUUAACCAUGCUUUGUGAUUCUUCUGCAGUAGCUGGAUGCUGGACAGGCUUUAAGACAUUCCUUAGCACAGUAAUACCAUUACUGGUCUCCAUUACUUACUUGGCUGGGACUCACCGUACUUACAUGUAAAACGACAUCAGAAUACUUGCAAAAACAUAUGGAUCUAAAAAGCCUUUGCCAUGUAAAUAAUUUUGGAAUUCUUAUUUAAAAGGUUUGGCAGGAAAAAAGAUUCCAUGUAUGUCAGGUUUGUUUUUUUUUAUCAUCUUACUAUAGAGUUGGUUUGUAGACCUCACUUUGUGUUUUAUGUACAUGUAUACAAGUUCUUAUAAUGAAUGUACGCUGCUCUUGGAUAAAGCAAACUAUUGGAAAAGGAAAUGGAUUUUAUUUGUUGUUUAACUACCUUUUUCUGCUGUAUGUGCUUAUUGGAAUAUUUGAUAACAAAGGAAGUAAAUAGGCAAUAUAUAUCAAACUCACUUCUUUCUGAGAACUAGUUAGAUUUCUGAUUUUUGUCUUAUCAAGAGUCAGGACAAAGUCUGCGUAUUGGCAAGAAACCAACAUCAGGAUCUGAGUCCAGGAGAAAUUUAAUGGCAGAAAGGAAUAUCAGAUUUUGUGAAUUUUGUCUAUUUUGCACCAAGUAAUAAAUAAACUGAAACCACGGAUCCUAAGCCCCCU